GGCGAGCUGCCAUUUCUGGGGUCGAACAGAGUCGGACACGACUGAAGCGACUUAGCAGCAGCAGCAGCAGCCUAUGACAUCAAACUCAAUCAGCGGUUCACUUCUCACCUGUCUCUGGGGCAGCACCAUGCCCCGCUGUGGUAGAAGAAGCCUUGGGAGCUGGCAUGAUCCUGUUGUUGCCACUGACAGAAGCAAGUGAGGUCCUCAAAGGUUCGAGAGAAGCAGCUCAGGGACUCUGAGUCCAAGGCCAGCGAGGAGGCAUCUGAGGAACAGCUGUGACGGGGAAACUAGAGACGCAGAAAAAUUGAAGAUUUGCCUAAGAUGACGCACCUCCUAAGAGCCGUUGCUGAGGGAACUCAAAGGGCUGCUGUGUGAGGGCUGGCUCAGGCAGGAGAUGUGAGAGAUUUCGGUUUAAC